AUUCAUUCAAAUAAUUUAAGUCCAUGGAAUAUAAUCAUAUUACUAAUGACCAUCACUUUUCAAUUAGACUUCCUAGUUUAUUAUUCAUUCCUUUUCAUUAAAAAGCUACUUCCUUUACGUCAGUGGAAUGUAGUGGACAAGUACUAGGAGUAAUCACUUAAAGGAAAAACAAACAAAAGAAAGAAACUGAAAAGACAAUAAUGGGCCUUGCAAGUUUGAUGGCGGUGUAUUGCUCAAUGGACACCCCAGCAGUCUCACAAAGAUGAUAAUGAGGCCCGAGAAACUAAGCCUUGACCUUGAAUUGGAGCUUUGUGCCAUGGUUUUUAUGUGAGGGAGAAUGAGGUUCUCUACUCUAAUCUCUCUCCUAAUUAUGAUAUAGUGGAUUAAGAUCGCUCAGUCUACUGUCACCUCGGAGUUAUUGGAGGUAGGAACAAGUUAAUGUUGGAUAAAAUCCAACCACACCAUGGCGACAUGGACGAGGUCCGACCUUCUUAAUUGGUUCGGUAUCCCCCUUGUAUUAAGUUUCCAUUGGGUCCCAGGGACACAAAUAUCAUGGAGCACAUCUUGCUCCCUUUUAUCAGUCAUCAUCCUCAUGUUGUGUCGGCAGAGCGAGGUGGAGGAGGAAGGCAAAGAACCUUUCGAAUACUCCGAGGCCCAUAGUAAUUGGGUUGGCCUCGAACAUAGCUCAUAUAAGCUAGUUCCUCAUCUUGAGCCUCCUCUUCAUGGCUCAGCCAAGUAUUAGCAUAGAAUUUAUGGACCAAAGUAAGGCCCAUAUUCUUCGUUUCUUAGUGAUUUUCAAAGGA